rnacentral:antisense_RNA from 1 species
AGUGAGCUGCCUCUCUGCGAUUGGUUUUGCCCGAGUUUUAUUUUUGUCUGUCUCAGCUAGGAAGUGGGAGACUUUCAUUUAAAAUGGAAAUUGGGGCGAGGGGUUGGCGGCUGGGCGAAGGGAGCGUUCAAAAGCGGAGAAUGUCACUUUACCCGAGAAAUUCACUACGAUGGGCCAUUGGUUUCUGCUCGGCUCGCAGGCGCACUGCACGAGUGGAGGCGUGGCUAGUGGCUGUGAUGAGAUAAAUCCAUGCAUAGCCUUUUCAUUGCGAGCUUGAAAGUUCUUUUCUAUUACAGUUUUAGCUUUAGGUUUAAUUGGUUCGACUGCCUUCUCCACAAUUUGGGCGAGAAUUUCCUUUGCCUUCUCAGCAAAAGUUGUUCUGCGGACCCGUCUGGGUCAACUUUCAUGAGGGACAUUGAGACAAACAAAUGAAAUAUGGGUCAAAGUACUCUGAGCAGCUACAAAAAGACCAGUCUAUCCUGCUGGAGACAGUGGCCAUGUGAAGAAAGAGCUCUUGCAGUAUGAAAGACCACAUGGAAAGAGAGGCCACAUGGAACCAACAGUCAGCAUCUUGGUUUCAGACACGUGAAGAAAUUCAUCUCAGACUGUGUAUCCUAAAUCAGGCACUUGCUGAAUCCAACUACAUGAGUGAGACCAGUUGACAACACAUGGAGCAGACAUGAGCUGUUCUCAGUGAGUCCUACACAAAUUCCUGACUCACAACACUGUGAGCAAUAAAAUGGUUGUUAUUUUAAGCCACUGAAGUUUGCAGUGAUUUCUUACAUAGGAAUAGAUAAAUGAAACACAAACAUUGAUAAUUUGCAUCUUCUAUCUGUUUUAUGACUAGUCUUAUUGGAAAUUACCAGUUUAUUUCUGCCAUGGUUAGAAAACAAACUCUGAAAUUUUGAUACUUUAAAAUUUUUUUGAGACUUACUGUGCCCAGAAUAUAGUCUAUCUUGGUGAAUGUUCUGUGAGCACUAGACAAGAAUAUGUAUUCUGUAGUUAUUGAGCAUUUGUGUCCAUCAAUGUCAACGUGAUUAAGGUGGUUAAUAGUUGUCUUCAGAUCUUCUAUAUUGUAUUGAUUGUUUUAUGUGUAGUGUUGCUAUUAAUUAUUGAUACAGGAGUGUAAAACUUAAACUAUGGCUGUGAAUUUGCCACUUACUUUAGUUUUGUCAGCUUUUCUUUUGCAUUUUUGAAGCUCUGUUAUUGGGCAUAUAAACAUUUAUGGUUCGUGUGUCUUCCUGAUGAAUUGACCAUUUUAUCAUUAUGAAAUGUCUUUAUUGCUGAUAAUACUCCUUAUCUUGAAGUCUA